ACCGUUGAGUUUAAGCAUAUAAUUAAGUGGAGGAAAAGAAACUUACAAGGAUUCCCCUAGUAACAACGAGUGAAUAGGGAAGAGCCCAACAUGAAAAUCACGUGGCAGCGUCACCUGAAUUGUAGUCUAUAGAAAUGUCCUUAGCAGUGGACAGGGCCCAAGUCCCCCAGAAGGGGGUGCCUGAGAGGGUGACAGCCCUGUCAGGCCAGGACCCUGCCGCACCAUAAGGCGUUGUCGGUGAGUUGGGUUGUUUGGGAAUGCAACCCUAAUCGGGUGGUAAACUCCAUCCAAGGCUAAAUACGAGCGAGAGACCAAUAGAAAAAAAGUAUCGUGAGGGAAAGAUGAAAAGGAAUUUGAAAAGACAGUUAAAGAGUGCUUGAAAUUGUCGGGAGGGAAGCGGAUGGAGGCCGAUGAUGCAUCUCAGUCGAAUGCGGAAUGGCUCAAGCUGGUCUGCCGCUCGACUCGAGGUGUGAACCAACAUAAACCGUUGCAUCGACACAAGCAUGGGUGGAGUAUUGCAUGUUGGUUUGUCAUUGUGGAAGUUGAGGAAUGAAGUGUGCACCCUUGGGGCGGGCCACUAUGCACCUGCACGCUCGUGGUGUUGGUUGGCGGGCUUUCCAUUUGACCCGUCUCAAAACAUGA
rnacentral:ncRNA from 1 species